rnacentral:rRNA from 1 species
ACCGUAAAAGUGAAGAAACUUAAUUUUAAANUUUGGAAAUCNNUUUAGANNNUGAAAAAACAAACUCCUUUGNAAGGGUAAAAUUUUAAAAGGGNUAGGCUUUUCUUUUUNUUGAAAUUUUGAAAACUUNAGAAGUGAAACUAGGAUUAGAUACCCUAUUAUUAUUAAAUAAAAAGAAAUNUAGGUAGUAGUAGAAGUCUUGAAACUUAAAGAAUUUGGCGGUGUUCUAAUCUUACCAGAGGAACUUGCAUUUUAACUCGAAAUUACACGUUUUAUCUUACUUAAAUUAGAGUUUGUAUAUCGUCGUAAAAAUAAAACUUUAAAGUGUAUAUUUAAACUUAUUAAANUUAAAAAUUACAGAUCAAGGUUCAGCANAUAUUUAAGNAGAAUGUGAGUUACAAUUUNNNUCUAGAUAGAUGGAGACUUUCUNNNGAAAUGNAAAAUUUGAAGGUGGAUUUGAAAGU